AGAUUGAACGCUGGCGGCAUGCCUUACACAUGCAAGUCGAACGGCAGCACGGGGGCAACCCUGGUGGCGAGUGGCGAACGGGUGAGUAAUGCAUCGGAACGUGCCCAGUAGUGGGGGAUAACUAGUCGAAAGAUUAGCUAAUACCGCAUACGACCUAUGGGUGAAAGCGGGGGCUUCGCAAGAACCUCGCGCUAUCGGAGCGGCCGAUGUCUGAUUAGCUAGUUGGCGGGUAAAGCCCACCAAGGCUUCGAUCAGUAGCUGGUCUGAGAGGACGACCAGCCACA
rnacentral:rRNA from 1 species